ACGAGGCGAACCGGGGGAACUGAAACAUCUAAGUACCCCGAGGAAAAGAAAUCAACCGAGAUUCCCCCAGUAGCGGCGAGCGAACGGGGAGCAGCCCAGAGUCUGAAUCAGCUUGUGUGUUAGUGGAACGGUCUGGAAAGUCCGACGGUACAGGGUGAUAGUCCCGUACACCAAAAUGCACAGGCUGUGAACUCGAAGAGUAGGGCGGGACACGUGGUAUCCUGUCUGAAUAUGGGGGGACCAUCCUCCAAGGCUAAAUACUCCUGACUGACCGAUAGUGAACCAGUACCGUGAGGGAAAGGCGAAAAGAACCCCGGCGAGGGGAGUGAAAAAGAACCUGAAACCGUGUACGUACAAGCAGUGGGAGCACCUUCGGGUGUGACUGCGUACCUUUUGUAUAAUGGGUCAGCGACUUAUAUUCUGUAGCAAGGUUAACCGUAUAGGGGAGCCGCAGGGAAACCGAGUCUUAACUGGGCGUUAAGUUGCAGGGUAUAGACCCGAAACCCGGUGAUCUAGCCAUGGGCAGGUUGAAGGUUGGGUAACACUAACUGGAGGACCGAACCGACUAAUGUUGAAAAAUUAGCGGAUGACUUGUGGCUGGGGGUGAAAGGCCAAUCAAACCGGGAGAUAGCUGGUUCUCCCCGAAAGCUAUUUAGGUAGCGCCUCGUGAACUCAUCUUCGGGGGUAGAGCACUGUUUCGGCUAGGGGGUCAUCCCGACUUACCAACCCGAUGCAAACUACGAAUACCGAAGAAUGUUAUCACGGGAGACACACGGCGGGUGCUAACGUCCGUCGUGAAGAGGGAAACAACCCAGACCGCCAGCUAAGGUCCCAAAGUCAUGGUUAAGUGGGAAACGAUGUGGGAAGGCACAGACAGCCAGGAUGUUGGCUUAGAAGCAGCCAUCAUUUAAAGAAAGCGUAAUAGCUCACUGGUCGAGUCGGCCUGCGCGGAAGAUGUAACGGGGCUAAACCAUGCACCGAAGCUGCGGCAGCGACACUAUGUGUUGUUGGGUAGGGGAGCGUUCUGUAAGCCUGCGAAGGUGUGCUGUGAGGCAUGCUGGAGGUAUCAGAAGUGCGAAUGCUGACAUAAGUAACGAUAAAGCGGGUGAAAAGCCCGCUCGCCGGAAGACCAAGGGUUCCUGUCCAACGUUAAUCGGGGCAGGGUGAGUCGACCCCUAAGGCGAGGCCGAAAGGCGUAGUCGAUGGGAAACAGGUUAAUAUUCCUGUACUUGGUGUUACUGCGAAGGGGGGACGGAGAAGGCUAUGUUAGCCGGGCGACGGUUGUCCCGGUUUAAGCAUGUAGGCUGAUUAUCCAGGCAAAUCCGGAUAAUCAAGGCUGAGGUGUGAUGACGAGGCACUACGGUGCUGAAGUAACAAAUGCCCUGCUUCCAGGAAAAGCCUCUAAGCAUCAGGUAACAUCAAAUCGUACCCCAAACCGACACAGGUGGUCAGGUAGAGAAUACCAAGGCGCUUGAGAGAACUCGGGUGAAGGAACUAGGCAAAAUGGUGCCGUAACUUCGGGAGAAGGCACGCUGGUGUGUAGGUGAAGUCCCUGCGGAUGGAGCUGAGACCAGUCGAAGAUACCAGCUGGCUGCAACUGUUUAUUAAAAACACAGCACUGUGCAAACACGAAAGUGGACGUAUACGGUGUGACGCCUGCCCGGUGCCGGAAGGUUAAUUGAUGGGGUUAUCCGUAAGGAGAAGCUCUUGAUCGAAGCCCCGGUAAACGGCGGCCGUAACUAUAACGGUCCUAAGGUAGCGAAAUUCCUUGUCGGGUAAGUUCCGACCUGCACGAAUGGCGUAAUGAUGGCCAGGCUGUCUCCACCCGAGACUCAGUGAAAUUGAACUCGCUGUGAAGAUGCAGUGUACCCGCGGCAAGACGGAAAGACCCCGUGAACCUUUACUAUAGCUUGACACUGAACAUUGAGCCUUGAUGUGUAGGAUAGGUGGGAGGCUUUGAAGCGUGGACGCCAGUCUGCGUGGAGCCAACCUUGAAAUACCACCCUUUAAUGUUUGAUGUUCUAACGUUGGCCCCUGACCGGGGUUGCGGACAGUGUCUGGUGGGUAGUUUGACUGGGGCGGUCUCCUCCCAAAGCGUAACGGAGGAGCACGAAGGUUAGCUAAUCCUGGUCGGACAUCAGGAGGUUAGUGCAAUGGCAUAAGCUAGCUUGACUGCGAGCGUGACGGCGCGAGCAGGUGCGAAAGCAGGUCAUAGUGAUCCGGUGGUUCUGAAUGGAAGGGCCAUCGCUCAACGGAUAAAAGGUACUCCGGGGAUAACAGGCUGAUACCGCCCAAGAGUUCAUAUCGACGGCGGUGUUUGGCACCUCGAUGUCGGCUCAUCACAUCCUGGGGCUGAAGUAGGUCCCAAGGGUAUGGCUGUUCGCCAUUUAAAGUGGUACGCGAGCUGGGUUUAGAACGUCGUGAGACAGUUCGGUCCCUAUCUGCCGUGGGCGCUGGAGAAUUGAGGGGGGCUGCUCCUAGUACGAGAGGACCGGAGUGGACGCAUCACUGGUGUUCGGGUUGUCAUGCCAAUGGCACUGCCCGGUAGCUAAAUGCGGAAGAGAUAAGUGCUGAAAGCAUCUAAGCACGAAACUUGCCCCGAGAUGAGUUCUCCCUGAGACUUUAAGUCUCCUGAAGGAACGUUAAAGACGAUGACGUUGAUAGGCCGGGUGUGUAAGCGCAGCGAUGCGUUGAGCUAACCGGUACUAAUGAACCGUGAGGCUUAACCUU
rnacentral:rRNA from 1 species